rnacentral:rRNA from 1 species
GAUGAACGCUAGCUACAGGCUUAACACAUGCAAGUCGAGGGGAAACGGCAUUGAGUGCUUGCACUCUUUGGACGUCGACCGGCGCACGGGUGAGUAACGCGUAUCCAACCUUCCCAUUACUGUGGGAUAACCUGCCGAAAGGCAGACUAAUACCGCAUAGUCUUCGAUGACGGCAUCAGAUUUGAAGUAAAGAUUUAUCGGUAAUGGAUGGGGAUGCGUCUGAUUAGCUUGUUGGCGGGGUAACGGCCCACCAAGGCAACGAUCAGUAGGGGUUCUGAGAGGAAGGUCCCCCACAUUGGAACUGAGACACGGUCCAAACUCCUACGGGAGGCAGCAGUGAGGAAUAUUGGUCAAUGGACGGAAGUCUGAACCAGCCAAGUAGCGUGCAGGAUGACGGCCCUAUGGGUUGUAAACUGCUUUUGUAUGGGGAUAAAGUUAGGGACGUGUCCCUAUUUGCAGGUACCAUACGAAUAAGGACCGGCUAAUUCCGUACCAGCAGCCGCGGUAAUACGGAAGGUCCAGGCGUUAUCCGGAUUUAUUGGGUUUAAAGGGAGCGUAGGCUGGAGAUUAAGUGUGUUGUGAAAUGUAGACGCUCAACGUCUGAAUUGCAGCGCAUACUGGUUUCCUUGAGUACGCACAACGUUGGCGGAAUUCGUCGUGUAGCGGUGAAAUGCUUAGAUAUGACGAAGAACUCCGAUUGCGAAGGCAGCUGACGGGAGCGCAACUGACGCUUAAGCUCGAAGGUGCGGGUAUCAAACAGG